UGCCGUCAAGUUUUUACGGGCACACGGUGAAUGCCUUGGCGUCGAAAGCCGAUGAAGGACGUGGUAAGCUGCGAUAAGCUUCGGGUAGCCGCAAACAGGCUUUGAUCCGAAGAUCUCCGAAUGGGGAAACCCAAUAGAGUGACAAACUCUAUUAUCAUGAACUGAAUACAUAGGUUCAUGAGGACAACCCGGGGAAGUGAAACAUCUCAGUACCUGGAGGAAAAGAAAUCAACCGAGAUUCCCUUAGUAGCGGCGAGCGAAACGGGAAGAGCCUAAACCAGGUUCAUGUCAAGCCUGCUGGCGUUGUGAAUCUGGUGUUGUGGGAGCCUUCUGCUGAAGCAGCAGAUUCAGCAAGGAGUUACAAAGAUCUGUAGUAGAUGAACUUACCUGGAAAGGUAGGCCAAAGAAGGUGAAAGCCCUGUAAUCGAAACUACAGAUCCUCCUGAAGGAUUUCCCGAGUACCAUGAGGCACGUGAAACCUCGUGGGAAUCUGGGUGGACCAUCAUCCAAGGCUAAAUACUCUUCGACGACCGAUAGCGCAUAGUACCGUGAGGGAAAGGUGAAAAGAACCCCGGAAGGGGAGUGAAAUAGAACCUGAAACCGUGUGCUCACAAGCAGUCAUAGCUCUAAGAUUGGCUUCGGCCAAUCGGAGUGGUGGCGUACCUGUUGAAGAAUGGGCCGGCGAGUUACGUUCUGUGGCAAGGUUAAGAGGUGAUCCCUCGGAGCCGUAGCGAAAGCGAGUCUUAAUAGGGCGAUUAGUCAUUGGACGUAGACGCGAAACCGGGUGACCUAUCCAUGGCCAGGUUGAAGCGUGACUAACCUCACGCGGAGGACCGAACCAGUUAUCGUUGAAAAGAUAUUGGAUGAGCUGUGGAUAGAGGUGAAAUGCCAAUCGAACUCGGUGAUAGCUCGUUCUCCCCGAAAUUGCUUUAAGGCUAGCCUCAAGUUUAACCUUUCCGGGGGUAGAGCACUGUUCGAGCUAGGGGUCCUACCAGACUACCGAACUCUUACAAACUCCGAAUACCGGAAAGUCUUACUUGGGAGUGGGACGGUGGUGGAUAAGCUCCAUCGUCGAGAGGGAAACAGCCCAGACCAUCAGCUAAGGCCCCCAAAUGCAGACUAAGUGGGAAAGGAAGUGAAUCGGCUAAAACAGCCAGGAUGUUGGCUUAGAAGCAGCCAUCAUUAAAAGAGUGCGUAACAGCUCACUGGUCGAGUCGAUUUGCGCCUAAAACUUAACGGGGCUCAAGUCUGCUGCCGAAGCUAUGGAUUCAAUACAUAUAACUGUAUUGUCUGGUAGGGGAGCGUUCUUAAAGGGCUGAAGGAGGACUCGUGAGAGCCUCUGGACUUUUAAGAAGUGAGAAUGCCGGCAUAAGUAACGAUAAGGAGAGUGGAAAUCUCUCCCGCCGUAAGACCAAGGUUUCCUGGGGAAGGCUCGUCCGCCCAGGGUUAGUCGGGCCUAAGCUGAGGCCGAAAGGCGUAAGCGAUGGACAUCCGGUUAAUAUUCCGGAACCAUCUCAAGAGCGUUUGUACGAUGGGGUGACGCUGCAAGAAAGGUUAGCCAGCCAACGGUUGUGCUGGUACAAGCUGGUAGGCUAAGGGAUAGGCAAAUCCGUCCCUUAUAAAGGCCGAGAAGUGAUGUGGAGGGGACACGUUCCCCGAACUAAUUGGACGAGCAGCCAAGAAAAACCUCUAAGGAGUUCUUGAGGUGUCCGUACCGCAAACCGACACAGGUGGUCGAGGAGAAUAUCCUAAGGCGUGCAGGAGCACCCUCGUUAAGGAACUCGGCAAAAUAGCCCCGUAACUUCGGAAGAAGGGGUGCCCUUGUAAUGUGUAGUGACUUGCUCACGAAGCAUGAAGGGGUCGCAGUAAAGAGGCUCGGGCGACUGUUUACCAAAAACAUAGGUCUCUGCUAAGCCGUAAGGCGAGGUAUAGGGGCUGACACCUGCCCAGUGCCGGAAGGUCAAGGGGAAGAGUUAGCCGCAAGGCGAAGCUCUGAACUUAAGCCCCGGUGAACGGCGGCCGUAACUAUAACGGUCCUAAGGUAGCGAAAUUCCUUGUCGGGUAAGUUCCGACCCGCACGAAAGGUGUAACGAUCCGAGCGCUGUCUCAACGAGGGACCUGGUGAAUUUGGGAUAUCCGUGAAGACACGGAUUACUUGCAAAGGGACGGAAAGACCCCAUGAAGCUUUACUGUAGUCUGACAUUGCGUUUUGAUAAUUCAUGUACAGGAUAGGUGGGAGGCUGUGAAGGAAGGGCGCCAGCUCUUCUGGAGCCGUCCUUGGGAUACCACCCUUGAAUUAUUGGGACGCUAACUUGCAUCCGUUAUCCGGAGCAAGGACAGUGUUUGAUGGGCAGUUUGACUGGGGCGGUCGCCUCCCAAAAGGUAACGGAGGCGUCCAAAGGUCACCUCAGCGUGAUUGGAAACCACGCGUCGAGUGUAAAGGUAUAAGGUGGCUUGACUGUGAGAGAGACAUCUCGAGCAGGGACGAAAGUCGGGCUUAGUGAUCCGACGGUUCAGUAUGGAAUGGCCGUCGCUUAACGGAUAAAAGUUACUCUGGGGAUAACAGGCUUAUCUCCCCCAAGAGUCCACAUCGACGGGGAGGUUUGGCACCUCGAUGUCGGCUCAUCGCAUCCUGGGGCUGAAGUAGGUCCCAAGGGUUAGGCUGUUCGCCUAUUAAAGCGGUACGUGAGCUGGGUUCAGAACGUCGUGAGACAGUUUGGUCCCUAUCUUUUGCAAGCGCAAGAAACUUGAGGAGGUCUAUCCCUAGUACGAGAGGACCGGGAUGGCGGAGCCUCCAGUGCAUCGGCUGUGGUGCCAACUGCAAGGUCGAGUAGCUGUGCUCCGUGUGGAUAAGCGCUGAAAGCAUAUAAGCGCGAAGCCCUCUCCAAGAUUAGGUUUCUCAUCCAGCAAUGGAGUAAGACCCCUGGGAGACUACCAGGUUGAUAGGCCAGAGGUGUAAGCAUGGCAACAUGUUCAGCUGACUGGUACUAAUAGGUCGAGGACUUGACGG
rnacentral:rRNA from 1 species